CAAGGGGAACACAUCCAAUCCCUCUAGAAGAGGGUGACAGCCUUAGAAGACAGGUAUCACCUCUUCCUUGAACCUUUUCUUCUCCAAGUAAAAGGUGUUGGUGGGGGAAGGUUGUGGCACGUGAAUGUAGUAGAACACAACUCUGCUGUAAGAAAUAACAGCAACGAGGAUACGGAAAGGCAUGAGAAGCCUUACAUGAGCUGAUACAAAGCAAAGCAGAGCUGGGAAAACAGAUAGAAGGAUCACAACAAUGUGAAUGGAAAGAACAGCUGAUGCAAAGCUAUGGAAAUCAAGUGCUGCAAAAUUAUAAAGAAUAAGCUUGGCUCCAAAAGAAGAUCUAUUACAAAUCACCUCUGACUCUUCUCCCCUAGUUCACAGGAUCAGGAAUCCUGGGUGUAGAGCGUUACAUUUUUCAGGUUUUUUUAAUUCAAUGUUGAGUGGCUUUUCUAAAAUUCUUUUCUUCCUUCCCUCCUUUCCUCUCUCCCCCCUUUCUUUCUUUCUUUCUUCCUUUCUUUCUAGAUAGAGAGACGGCCCUCUGAGAAGAAGAAAGGGGAAAGGACACAGGAGGAAAUCUAGUUGAUAUAAAAACAAAAGAUAUCAAAAAAUAUCUUUUAAAAAAAAACCAUGGAGGAGGAACAUGCAAAGAAUGACACAUUCUCUCUCUGCCUCCCUACUUCUCUCUUAUACUUACUCCCUGAGCUUGGGGAAGAGUUCAGCAGAAAGCUGAGCAGAGUUUCACCAUCCCAAUGGGAGAGGACAGUUUACAUGGAACUUGUUGCCUGGGGUUACUGUGGCUCCCUGAAUGCCUGAGCAUAGUGAGAGCUGGGAAGGCUCAGAAGUUUCCAUUCUGAGAGACCUGAACCCUCUAGCCCCAAGGAGCUAAAUCUAGGAGAAGCCCAUCAUCCUGCAGCCUCUUUGGCAAAGGCUCAAACCCACUCAUCAGACGUCGGGCUUCUCUACCCCACCUUCUGGACUGGAUGGACAGUGUGGUCGGCCGCGGGGCCCUGGCCCUCCAGGACUGGAGCAGAUCAGAACAAGACCUUCGGUCAUCAUUGUUAGAGAGUGUUCAGCAGGGGGCAGAGCUGGUGGGCCGCCUGCCGACAGCCCGUGGGACCCUGAAGAAGCAGGCCCAGGAGAUCCAAAGGAGGGAGAAGGCUGUGGAGCUCAGCCAAAUGAAGUGUGAGCUGCUUGACAUAAGGCAGAAGAUGGAAAGCUCUCUCGUUCGCCUGGAGUGGGAAAGAAGAGAGCUAAAGAGGUCCAGAAGACAGGAGCAGCAGCAGGGCAGAGAGCUCCAGGACAAGUGAGGAGGGUGUGACCAGAAGGCUGGGAGGGCUGAGGGAGAAGGGUGGGGAAUGGGUGGUGGGAGGGAAGGACCCUCCUCCGUUACCCCCUUUCUCCCCUCCAGAAUCCUGCAUCUGCAGGUAGAAGUGAUGAAAGUCAAGUUGUGUUUGGACAGAAUGAGCCAGCAGUCACUGUUUGUGGAGGACCCAGAGGUGAGAAUGGCCAGAGGGAAACCUGAAGGCUGGGCUCACCUCCCAGCCCGGGGAAGCCUGCGCAUGACUCCAGGUCUAAAUACUGCAGUGGGCAAGAAGAGGGUCAGGAAGGGACUGCAAGGGGUGGGGUGGGGUGAAAGGAUGGGGAAGUGAUAACUCUCACCCCAGAAGCCUUUGCUGAGUUACCCGAGUACCCAGACCUGUGCAUGGGGGAGACAGAGAACAAAGAAGGACCAUCCCUAACUCAGUUCAUAUUUUGGUGGGGAAAGAAGAGUGACCUAAAUUAAAUUAUUAAAGAGCAGGGGAUGGUAUAAACCUACGGGUCAGUGUGAGUCAUGAAGGUUAGUGUGCUGUAGGAGGUCAGAGCAGGGAGGCUGGGGGAGUCAGGGAGGGCUCCUUGGAAGCUGUGGGCCCUGAAGGAUUUGGAGAAGAGAAGGGAAAGCUUCCAUAGGGCAGCAGCAUGGAAAAAGAUUCAGAAGAAGGAAUGAGCAGAGUCAUGAACAAGUAAUUUUGGUGCUGGGGACAAAGUUCACUUGGAGCAGGCAGCAUGAAAUACACCCUUCAUUAACUUUUUGAAAGAAUUUCAGUUGUGAGUGGGGGAGACCAUAGGAUGCAGCCUGGAGGGCAGUGGGGUUAGCUUAGCAGAGUGCUUGGCGAAUGUAGGCUCUUAAUAAAUGGUGAUUGAUUGAUUGAUUGAUUGAUUGA
rnacentral:lncRNA from 1 species